UACGUAGGGGGCAAGCGUUGUCCGGAAUCAUUGGGCGUAAAGAGCGCGUAGGCGGUCCGGUAAGCCCGCUGUGAAAGUCAAGGGCUCAACCCUUGAAUGCCGGUGGAUACUGUCGGGCUAGAGUCCGGAAGAGGCGAGUGGAAUUCCUGGUGUAGCGGUGAAAUGCGCAGAUAUCUGGAGGAACACCGGUGGCGAAGGCGGGUUGCUGGGCUGACACUGACGCUGAUGCGCGAAAGCCAGGGGAGCGAACGGG
rnacentral:rRNA from 1 species